UGGACGCCGACGCAUACGCUCAUGAUGUGCUCAUGUAUUACUAAGAAAAGUUAAAAAUUACAUUGCUAAAUUGUAUCAUUCAAUCUCAAACGUGAUAAAAUAUAAGAUGUUAUAUUUUCUUGUUGCGGCGACAUAUAUUGUAUGAAUAUAAGGUGUCUUCGAAGACAAUGAAGCUGAGUCAUUAAUUCUAUGAUUUCCUAACUGGAAUGCAUCAAGUUUUACUAUAUGGCAUUCCCGAUGCCCCCCAAAGUUUACAAGUUUAGACCAGUGCCCUGCUUCUGUAAUUUUGAGUGCAAUACUACUUACAAACCACCAUGAUGACAACAAAGUAAACGGAACUCCAAUUGUGAAAUCGUUCGUGGACAAUGACAAUGUGAAAUGCAAAGCUGCCUCUACUACUAAUUGAAUACACUAAGCUGAUUCACCUGCCCCCCCAUCCAUUAAACUACUAGACCUAUGCCACAUGUGAAUGCACAUGGAGCUGUAUGGGAUCCGAAACUUUCCCGGAACAAUUCAUAUGUUUCAAACUUACUGAGUCCAUACA